GACGAACGCUGGCGGCGUGCCUAACACAUGCAAGUCGAACGGAAAGUCCCUGCUUUUGUGGGGUGCUCGAGUGGCGAACUGGUGAGUAACCCGUGAGUUACCUGCCCUUUACCUUGGGAUAACUUCAGGAAACUGGGUCUAAUACCGGAUAUGAUCUCCUGCUGCUUGGUGGGCCUUGGAAAGUUUCGGCGGUUGGGGAUGGACUGGCGGCUUAUCAGCUUGUUGGUGGGGUAGUGGAUUACCAAGGCUUUGACGGGUAGCCGGCCUGAGAGGGUGACCGGCCACAUUGGGACUGAGAUACGGCCCAGACUAGUACGGGAGGCAGCGGUGGAGAAUAUUGCACAAUGGGCGGAAGGCGGAUGCAGCAACGCCGCGUGGGGGAUGACGGCCUUCGGGUUGUAAACCGCUUUCGCCUGUGACGAAGCGUGAGUGACGGUAAUGGGUAAAGAAGCACCGGCUAACUACGUG
rnacentral:rRNA from 1 species